UGACUGCUCUAAUGUGCAGUUGUUUUCUGAUUCAGAUGAUUGAGGAGCUUGGUGGUUCUCUCACUGCUGAUGGGAGUACAAGCACUCAUGUCAUUACAGGAAAUUUGCGGAAAACUCUAAAUUUUUGUAUUGCUCUCUUUUCAGGAGCUUGGAUUUUCUCCUCCAGUUGGUUAAAGGAAACCUAACGGGAAGGCAGAUUUGUUGACGAGUUGCCUUACAUACUAAAUGAUGAUGACUACAUAUCGAAGUAUCGAGCCAGCCUAAAAGCUGCAGUUCUCAGGGCAAAAGCAUGUUCUUGAGCUUUAUUUGAAGGGUAUGAUGUUUGCAUAUCAGCUCACGCUCAACCACCACCUAAAACUCUAUCCCUGAUAGUCAAGUCAACCGGUGGAAAUGUGAUUCAUGAGCUAGAUAAAGUAAACAACGUAUGGAAGACGAUCUUUGUGGCUUGUGAGGAAGACGUGGAGGAAGCCUUGGUGGCCGUACAAAAAGGGAUAUGGACUUUCAACGUUGAAUGGCUAAUGGCAUGUAUAAUGAGACCAGAAGUUGACCUGGAGGCCCCUCAAUUUGCUGAGUCCCUAUGAGAAACAAGGUCACCCUAACUUUCAGUUUUGAACAAGCAGCAGCCAGCCAUUUCGUCCUUGUGUAAAUCCACUCUUUUCUCAACUCACUCUAAUUUGGUACAUAAACAAACUCUGAUCGCUCCAUCUCUAUAUUCAUCAGUACAUAAAAGACGAUAAGUUUAUUCAUGGAGAAAGUUGGAUGUAAGUAUGUUUUAGGAAUGGUCCUUCAUUUAGUAACUUUGGGAAUUGUAAAAAUGAGGUAAUGAAGUUCUAUCAAGUUGAAUGUUCUUGUUUAUGUUGGAUGAGACUGAUUCUUGGAUACCAGAAUUAACUUGAAGUACGUGUUUGAGUU